rnacentral:rRNA from 1 species
AUUGAACGCUGGCGGAAUGCUUUACACAUGCAAGUCGAACGGCAGCACGGACUUCGGUCUGGUGGCGAGUGGCGAACGGGUGAGUAAUACAUCGGAACGUGCCCAGUCGUGGGGGAUAACGUAGCGAAAGCUACGCUAAUACCGCAUACGAUCUAAGGAUGAAAGCGGGGGAUAGCAAGACCUCGCGCGAUUGGAGCGGCCGAUGGCAGAUUAGGUAGUUGGUAGGGUAAAGGCCUACCAAGCCGACGAUCUGUAGCUGGUCUGAGAGGAUGAUCAGCCACGCUGGGACUGAGACACGGCCCAGACUCCUACGGGAGGCAGCAGUGGGGAAUUUUGGACAAUGGGCGCAAGCCUGAUCCAGCCAUUCCGCGUGCAGGAUGAAGGCCUUCGGGUUGUAAACUGCUUUUGUACAGAACGAAAAGGCUCUGGUUAAUACCAGGCGCUAAUGACGGUACCCGCAGAAUAAGCACCGGCUAACUACGUGCCAGCAGCCGCGGUAA